rnacentral:lncRNA from 13 species
AGCUUGCUUUAGCUUUCUGAGUCCAUUUACUUAACUCUUGUUUUGCUUGACUUUCAUAAAUAUUUCAGUUCUUCAUGAGUCCCAUACAUUCUUUCUGUAUUCCAGUGUUAAAAUCUUCAAAGCUAUUAAAAACCUGCAUUUGAGAACACCCGUUAAAGUCCUUGGUAUAGUUUGAUUAUAAACCAUCUUUUGAGAAGGAACAAAGCAAGACAACAAUGAUCUGCAAAUGACCAAAUUUCCAGGUGCAAUCCUUUCUGAAGAAUGUUCCUUCCACAUGUGCUUCCAAAGAAUGUGUAUUCUGCUGUUGUUGACUGGAAGAUUCUGUAUAAGGUAAGCAAUAAUGUUAUCUUUUACCUUAGAAACUAGAUUACAAAGAGCAAAUAAAAACCCAAAUAUACAAACA